AGACGGGUGAGUAAUGCGUAGGAAUCUACCUAGUAGUAUGGAAUAGCCAUUAGAAAUGAUGGGUAAUACUGUAUAAUCCCUGCGGGGGAAAGAUUUAUCGCUAUUAGAUGAGCCUACGUUAGAUUAGCUAGUUGGUAAGGUAAUGGCUUACCAAGGCUAUGAUCUAUAGCUGGUCUGAGAGAACGAUCAGCCACACUGGAUCUGAUAUACGGUCCACACUCCUACGGGAGGCAGCAGUGGGGAAUAUUG
rnacentral:rRNA from 1 species